AAACAGCAAGGUAUCCACCAUCCAACAUCAAAUUAACAUCAAACAAGAGCAACAUCAUUGGUCUCAUGUUUAUAUCACUCAUCAAGUUCAAUUCAUGCACAAAACAAUCCAUAUUGGUUCAAAUGAAGCACCAAAUAUACAAACAGAAGUAUUGCAUUCAAAGCCAUGCCAAAACACAUCAAAAAAAUCUCAAAUUAAAUACACCUAAACAGGGUCAAUCAAGGUCUACCAUGUCAAAUUUGGGCUUAAUUGGGCAAAUGGAACCAUGUCAAUGAAAAUCAACAAAAACAGACACAAUUUCAUGCUUCAAUUCACACCAUCAAU
rnacentral:lncRNA from 1 species